UCCACAGCUCAACUUCCACCCACUCUCAAACCCUCUCGCCGGAGCCCCCAGCAAGGAGCAAGCAAGCAAGAUGGACGGCAGCAAGGCGAAGAAGGUGGCGGCGAAGAAGUUCGGCGGGCCGAGGAAGAAGUCGGUGACCAAGUCCAUCAAGGCUGGGCUCCAGUUCCCCGUCGGCCGCAUCGGGCGCUACCUCAAGAAGGGCCGCUACGCCCAGCGCGUCGGCUCCGGCGCCCCCGUCUACCUCGCCGCCGUCCUCGAGUACCUCGCAGCCGAGGUACGCGCACCACACCACGCCACCGUUAUACUCCUCGUCGACACCCUCCCUUCCGGCCUGCCUCUCUCUCCCCGGUCUGAAACGAGCUGCUGAUCUUGUUUUGCAGGUGCUGGAGCUGGCCGGGAACGCCGCCAAGGACAACAAGAAGACCCGGAUCGUGCCCAGGCACCUGCUGCUGGCCAUCCGCAACGACCAGGAGCUCGGGAGGCUGCUGAGCGGCGUCACCAUCGCCCACGGCGGCGUCAUCCCCAACAUCAACCCGGUGCUGCUCCCCAAGAAGGCCGCUGAGAAGGCUGAGAAGGCCGGCGCCGCCCCCAAGUCGCCCAAGAAGACCACCAAGUCCCCCAAGAAGGCCACCAAGGCCUAGAUCCGGCCGUGCCGGUGAACUGAUGGUGCUCCGGCAGCCCUCGUGUGCCUAGUGUCUCUGUGUUAAGUUAGCUAUGGUGUGUUCCAGAGAGUGUUGAAGCUUGUCCUUUUGCUUUGCCCCACCAUGUAACCGUGAACGAAGAGGAAGCGUCUUGCUUCCUCUGUUCUUCUGAAUCCAUCUGGUGUCUAAUGCAGUGUUUGUUAAAGUGCCUCUGAAUUUCCGUUCUAUUUUAACUGUAUUUGCAUCUGUUGCACGUUUG
rnacentral:lncRNA from 1 species